GUAUGGUAUUGGCUUACCGUGGCAGUGACGGUUAACGGGGGAUUAGGGUUCGAUUCCGGAGAGGGAGCCUGAGAAACGGCUACCACAUCUAAGGAAGGCAGCAGGCGCGCAAAUUACCCAAUUCUAACAGUUUGAGAGAGGUAGUAACAAGAAAUAACAAUACAAGGCAAUUAAAAUGCUUUGUAAUUGGAAUGAUAGAAAUUUAAACCCUUUUUAAAGUAUCAAUUGGAGGGCAAGUCUGGUGCCAGCAGCCGCGGUAAUUCCAGCUCCAAUAGCGUAUAUUAAAAUUGUUGCAGUUAAAAAGCUCGUAGUUGAAGUUCUGCUAAAAGUAACCGGUCUGCUUUUAAUAAAAGUGGUAUCUUGGUGUGUAUUUAGCAAUGAUGUCCUUUGAAGUGUUUUUUACUUUAUUGUAAUAAAGCAUAUUCAGGACUUUUACUUUGAGAAAAUUAGAGUGUUU
rnacentral:rRNA from 1 species